rnacentral:other from 1 species
GCAACUCUGAGAUGUUCGAUUAAGGGUCAGUCCCCUGAGCCGAUAUUCCAAAAGCUAGAAUAGUACGGUUUUCAGCUGGUGUGUAAGCCUUGCUUGACAAGGAAACCUAAAGGUUGAAACGUAUAAUUCACCUUGAACCUAGGGUUCAAGGGUUUCCACCCAUAAACGGCAUCUUGGAGCCACU